CUUCACACCGUGCCCCCCCUUCCCUUUUUAUCAGCUGUAAUUCUAUGAAAGGAUUCUGGGCUGCAGUCCGAAUCCUUUGCGUGGCCUCCUGUAACACAGCGGGGACGCGGGCACCAUUACCUGCCCUGUAAAAGCUUCUUCGCAGUUCUACAUUACAGCUUUCUGUGAAGUACUAUUACAGCAGAGAGACACCCACUGAGAGACAGAAAAGAGACCAUUUUACUGGAGAAGAUUUCCCAUCAUAAAAUCAAAAGCUAGACUAUAUAUUGGAUGUCAUUCCACAAGAGGAAGCCACAUGUAAUAGAGAUAUCCCAUCUCAUCUGCCCCUGAGGAGUGUUUUCUAUACACGAAAUUCCGCGUCGGGCUUACAAAGAUGUAGCUACUUGUGCUAAUGGGAUUUUAUUCUGAUCUAUUAACCAUUCAUUUAUAUUUUACAAUUUGUUAAACAUUUUUGUUGUGUACUGUCUAGUUCUUAUGUGUCCAUAUUUAUUGAUUGAACUGAACAAACCCAUUGUUAUGUGCUAACACUUGUAUUAUGAUGUAAUUCUGGUAUGAUAUGUGUCACUGUACACGCUACAUGUUUUUUACUGUGUAGACAUUUUAUCUACUUAAUACAUGUAUACUACUUUCAA